CAGUCAUAGAGAGCGACUGUCUCACUGUGAUACUGACUACCAAAAAUUCAAACUGCACCAAACGAAAUUUAGCCGUGCACAUGUUUAGUCACUAGUCAACACUCGAAGUGAGAUAGUCUCUCUCUCAAUUAUAUUUGUAAAGUACUUAAAUUAACCGGUGCUAUUAUAAAAUGGAAGUUUCAAGUCAAAGUAGUAAUACCAGUGUGGACAAUAAGUUAAAGUGUACAAUAUGCGGAAAAAAAUAUUCGAAAAAAUCUAAUCUAAAAAAACAUGUGGCGUCCGUUCAUACAGAAACGCAUCGUUUCCAAUGUAGGAAUUGUGAAGUGUAUUUUUCGGAAAACGCUACACUACAAAAACAUUUAAAUCGUCAAAUCUGUUUAAUUAAGAAGGACAAGAAACUGAAGGAAAUUACGUAUGAUUGUAAAGUGUGCAAAAGAAAGUUUGGUGCUCGGCAUGUCCUCAAUUUACAUAUCAAGCAAAACCACCCUGAAAACUAUUAUAAAUAUAACUGUAGUCAAUGUGAUGUUAUGUUUAGCUCGAAAAAAGGUCUCCAUGGCCAUGUGGAUACCGUUCACAAUAACAAUAAACCCAAGUGUUUAAUUUGUGGAUUGGAAUUCUACGACAAAUAUAAAUUAAAUAGACAUAUAGAAAAUGUCCAUUCACCAAAUGCUAUGAAAAAGAGGGAUGAAAAAUUAGCAGCAAGGUCUGAAGCAGAGUUAAACAGAGAAGUUUAUCGCAAGUUGAAGUCAGAUCCCUGUCACACUUUAGUCAACUCAACAGUUGAUCCCAGUGAACACUAUUAUUUAAAAUUAAAUAAGAAACAACGCGAACGGGUCAACAUUCAGAAAAUGUUAAAACCCGUCGUGAAGGAACCAGUCAUAGGCCAGCAUCAUAUCAGAGGUUGGGGAUACACUUCUGAGGGAAAUGAGUGUCCCAUCAAUUACGUCAAGUUGACAGAUGAACAAAGAAGAAGUUCACACCAAGUUUAUGGAUAUGUGUGGCGUGACGGUAAAACUUUCGAGAUUGUGGAGGUGUAUUAUGGGAUGACGUGUGAUACAGCUAUUAACGGAGCAAUUGUUAAGUGGACUAAGAUUAAAGCUUCGACAGACAAGGGUUGUUCAGACAGACGGAUGUAUGACGACGGUCAUUUUUUUUGUCCUGAAGAGGCGUUUUUGAUUGAGGGGAUGGUUGGACAUCAAAAAUGGGUGGUAGGACAACUCAAGUGGUUAACUAGGAACGAGGCCGGAGGAAUUUGUUCCGUCAACCCCAAAGAGUGCUACAAAUGGCUGGAUAACUAUGUGGGACAAAUUAGAGAGGCGUUGACCAGAGCCAACCACUUGUGGCUUGAUCAUCCCGACCCAAACAUCCCAACCUCAAAUUCCCAGAAAAAUGCUGAUGAUAAAGCGCAAGACCAUGACCUCGAGGAAGAAAACAGGACACUCCAAGCAUUACUCUCAGUGCGAGAAACACGAAUUGAACAACUUGAAUCCGAUAUGGAAAUGUUGAAGACUCAGUUUGAACGAGAUAUUCAAGCCAAGGAAGAGGAACGUAAAACGCUCCUUCAACAAUUGCGCGACACCGAGACAAAGUUGGAGAAUGAACGUGAAAACAAAGUCGCUGUUGGCAAAGACCGAAAAAAACGCGUCUCCUUAUUAUCCACUUCUCCUUAUACUAUACGCCUCGGAAUAUCAAAGACACGGCGUCCGCUCAAUCCGUUCCAGCCAUUUCGUCGCUCCAAUAAUUAAUUUACCGAGCAUUUUAAGACUCCGGGGAUGGAAGUUGGUCAAGUCGGAUUCCAUGUGGACAAGGAUGUGAAGCUAGUUAAAAACGUUCCAAAAAGAACUGAGAUUUGCAAGAGAUUGGAGAAGACAAAGUCUGAGAACAUGAAAUUAGAUUUCCGAA